UGGUGAAUUAUUUUAGCUAGUGAAGUGGAGACACGAGACGAGCACAGACAUAAUAUAAUAUUUGGUUCGCGUUUUAAUUAAUAAUAUAAACGGUAUUUUACCAUCAUUGAUAUUACACAUUAUUUGAAUAAUUAUUUACUAUCAAUAUUUUCACUUGUAUACAUGCGUGCUUGUAUAUCCGAUUUUCUGCAGCCCACAAGUGUGGAUUAAAUCAUCAUAAAAUCAUCCUGCAGGUGAAAGUCAUAAUAUGUAUUAUUAUAUCUAUUUAGUUCUACGAUUAUUUAUCUUUAAUAAUAUUAGUUUCAACGGGUAAUCAUAUAAUAUACAAAGUGACUAAUCUAAGCAACUCAUUAUCUGGAAGAUUUAAUAUUUUUUUAUUUUUUUAGAAAUUAUGUUAAAUAAGCAUUUCUAAAACGUUCUGUACAUUUUUAUUAUUUUUUGUUAAUUUGUCCAAUUUUUUGGCAAUGAGUAUCUUAUCGAAGAUUCUUCACCCUGUAGAUCAGUUACCAGUGGUGGUUUUGUCUUAAAGGUAUGCCAGUAUGCAAAAGAGAAAAAAAAGACCCUCUUUACCUUUUAGUUUUAAAUAAUGAUGUAAUAUUUAUAUAAAAUAUAGGUACAAUAAUGUACAUAAUACCUAUAUUCAAAUUUAAAAUAAGUAUCACUAUCCUAAAAUAAUAAAAUAUUAUGUACAUCAAUAGCAUUAAAUUUUAUUGAAACUUAAAUUACAUAUAAAAUAAAAGUUGAGUAAAAUUGUAUAUUUUGAUAUACCUAAUAAAAAAUUAUAAUAACGACAUCAGGUUGAACACCUUAAAGACGUAAAGUAGUGAAAAAUCUUUUUACUUUUUGUAAAUUAUAGUAUAUAAUAUUAUAAAUAAAAUCGUAUUUACCUGUAUAAUUUUGACUUCUUUGAAACCGAUAGUAAUAAUGUCCAUCACUCUAUUUAAAGGCUUGUGGUAUUUGCACACAUCACACACGUGUCUGACUUGCUACUAUCUGUUGCUCACUAUAUUUAUGAUAAUAUAAUCACUAGGUAAUAAAUAAGUCUUGAAACAUGAAUUAUUAUUUAAACAAGUAUCAAAACUCAUAAAAUCAGGACCGGAUAUUAACAUUUUAACACCUAGGGAAAAUGAAAAAAUUACGCCCAUUUCAGGGAAAUGACCAGUUAGUAUUUUUUUCACGAGAAAUCAAGCACACUUACACAAUAGUGUUGCCAAUUAUUUAGAAAACUACUAGUUAUAUACAGUUAUAUAUAGUACCUAUUGUUAAUUUUGUUUUUACUAAAUACAUUAGUGCUUUAUCAGUACAUAUUAAAUCAAUGCUAUUACGGUUAAAAAUAAAAUAACAUGUAGCCAUUAUUCAAAACCAUAAGAAAUAUCAAAAAUAAAUAUCAUUUAAAAUAUUAUUUUGUUCUUAUGACAUAUUUUAAAUUCCAUUUUCAAUUUAAUCAGUUUAUGAAAUCUUGAAAAAAUACGUCCUGGAAAAUUAUACUCCUCAGGGAUAAAUUCCCGUCUUCCCUCCCCCUAGAUCUGGUCCUACAUAAAAUUAUAAUAUUUUAAAAUCCAAACAAUAAGCCUUAUGGCUUAGGUUUAUACACUUGCGGUUUGAUUAAUCCUUCUAUUGAUAUAAGUGAAUAAAUUUCGUAAAAUUUAACAACUGUUAUAAUCAGCUGCAACAAAAAUAUACGGAUUAUAAGAUAAAUAAUAUUACUAUCGCAUAUUUUUUAUUUUUAAAGUUCAGAGAAAAACAACAAACGGACAUACUUCUCACGAUGGGAGAGCCACUGUUGUAGGUGAGAAGUUGGUAAGGUAGAGGGGAAAUUUAAUUUAUAUCUGUACGCCGCGUUUAACCAUUGUUAACGAAAAAUGAUUCUGAGCGGAAUUCGGUUAUACGUGUUUUGAAAGGUCGUAAUAUUUACGAUUUAAAAAUAAUACAUUUCAUAUAUUUUCCAAUUUUUUCCCUGUUCUUUCCCAUUUGUUAUGAAAACCCCUGAGAAAAUCAAAAUUUAACCAUUUUAAAAUACCACCUUAGUCAAAUAUGCUUUCAGAAAAAGUACUACAUUUGAAAAUAGGAGCAAAAUUUCUGGUAGAAUAGUUGUUCGCAGAAAAAAAAAAUAACCUUGUAAAACUAAUACAUUCUUAGCUCCGAUUAGAAUUUAAAACAGAAUUUAAUUAUCCUUAUUAUUUUAGGAGAUAUUGCAAUUAUUAUGUCUUCGUGAGUUACCCUGUGUGACUAAUUACUAUAUAAGAAACAACAUACUUAAUUAUAAUCUUUCAAGUUUCAGAACAAACUUUUGUUAGUUUUCGAAGAAAAUGACCAUUUCUUUAUGGAUAAAACUGGAACUUGACCGUUUUCAAGUUAUAGCUUUAAUUUAAAAUGCUUAUAACAUUAUCAAAUAGAUUAAAAACAGUUGCAUAAAUAUGAUAUUUGAAAAUUAAACUUUAAAUAGUAAUAUUACUAUCGAAUGAUUUCAUAUUUUAAUAAUAUCACUAGACAUGUGAAGUCGAGUUGAUCAAUAGAAUUCUGGAUAUAGGAAUAAAGAAUAAUAUAAUUUCUAUUAUAAUAUGUUCCAUACAAAUUUUGAAAUGGUCUGCUACAUAUUGUUUUAUGAUAUCAUUAUAUAUUUUAAUAAGAAUUUAUAAGUAGCUAGGUACUUGCGAUGAAUAUUUAUUUGCUUACUUACGCCGUGAAAAUGCAUAAUAAUAUAUAUUAUAAUAUAAUAUUAUUACUACCUACCUAUAUGCAAAAUUAUUCUAAUAAUUCAACGAAGGUUAAACUAUGUUGACGUUGUCUAUGUUAAAAUAUAUUAAAAUAAUGUUUCCGUGGAAUUUAAUCUAAUAUCAAACUGAGCUAAUUAAUCUCUAGAUAUAUUAUAUCAGCCACCAUGAUACUUGAUAAUUUUCAAUUACCUAAUAUUAGGUAGGUACGUUUGUUUAAGUGGUUAUAAUAUUACCUAUUUUAUUAUAAUUAUUAAUGUGUUGUUUCUGUCUGGCGUUAGCACGAUAUAGUAAAAUUACAUUUCUUAGAACUUAAAUUGUGGCGUUUGGAUUAAAAUUGAAGUUUAAUCAAAAAUAACAAAGUUUCAAUAAGAAUUAAAAAAUGCAAUACCUAACAUGGCUAACAUUAACGUCACAUCUUUUAAUUUUGCCAUUUAUGUUUAAACUUUAGUUUCAACAUAAACUCUACAAUAUACGACCUAUAUAAUUACAAGUAUAAGAAAAAAAGCGUUGCAGACAGAUAGACGAAUUAAACAGGCACAUUAUUUUCGGAACCGAACACUUGACAAAAUUAAUAAAAAAAUAUGUAUCAAAAGAAAUUUUAUAAGAAACGAAGCCUAUUGAAAAAAUAAAUCAAAUGUCUGUAGGUGUGCAUUUUUAUUAUAUAAAACUUAAACAUUUAUGUUAUCGUUUUUUUUAGCAUUACGAGCCAUGCUAACUUAGCAACCAAAAUUAAUUCUUUCCAUUGACAUUUAAAAUUAUGUAAUCCUGAUUCACAUUCCACUUGAAUUUCUUUUUUUAACACUGCCUGUCCUUCCAUUUUCUUCUCAACUUUUCCCCAAAUUUUUUUCCUAUUACCAUGGUCCAUGUCCAACAUUAUUUUCAUGAGACUUCCAUCAUCCACCAUACGUGGCCGGUUCUUAUUCUAGAUUUGUCUUCUGAUUAACUGGAUCACAUUCUUUCUUUUGCGAGUAUAAAUCCGGUUAGACUAUCUGUGAGUCAGUUCUAAAAUGUCUGAUAACUAAGUUUUGUUCGACAUUAUUGAAUGUAGGGGCCCAUAUAUUUCCCAGAGUACCAGGGUCGUAAAAACAUGGGGUAGGAGGUUUACCCCGCCUUCGUGCAACAUGGAAAGUAUCCAAAUAUAUAUAUACAAACAUUUAAAAUAUUAUUUACCAAUAUAUUUUAGAGUUUUUUUUUAUUUCAAAUGUGUUAAUGAUAAUAUAAAUAUUAAAAAGUAAAUAGUGAUCACGAUAGAAUAUCUAUUAAUCCGUGAUAGCAAUUGACACAAUGAAUAUUAUCUAAUUAUUAAAAUAACUAUAAAUUGAUGUUAAAUCGUUAACCAUAAUUAAUAAUAUAAGAAUCUAUGGUCUAUGGUAAUUGGUAAUAAUAGUAAGGUCUUUCAUAUUCCGUCUAUGACAGACGACAAUGUGAUAGGUAGUAACAGAUUUUUGUGAUAAAAUAAGAAUUUUGUAAAAUAGGCCUAAUAUUGCAAUAUGUAUUAAAUAGAACAUUGUAUAGAAUGUCCUGAAAUUGAGUACCAUUCCAGUCAAAUUUCUUUUCAGAAAAAUUGCUAUACUUGAAAACUGGAAAAAGCAUUUUGGCAGAAAAGUUGUUCACGGUUAAACAAAAAAAAUAAACCUCAUUAUUUAGUGUUAACUCCCUCCCCCCUAUUAAACUCUUGUUUACGGCACUGCUAAGUACUUUCUUCCUGAAUAGUCCAAUAGUUUUUAUUCAUUGUUUCACAAAACAAACAUUUAAAUUAGGUAUCUAAAUAUUAUUACAAAACAAUUGUUCCCCCGAAUUAGAAAAAAAAACCGUGAAGAUAUGUUUUAAUGUCAUUUAAAUAUUUAUAACGACCGUCUAUACUGAAAUUAUCACUGUCGGAUUGCUAGUGAUAUUAAUUUUGAAUAUUUCGAUUAUAAUCACUUUUGUUUUUUAAUCUAAUCGAGUGGUCUUCACCUUGAUUCGACAAAGAUCAACGAACGUUUUAUAUUAUACGAGAAUGAGGUGUAUAUCCUAUUAGAAAAUUCCAAAAUAUUCGAAAACCAGUUUUUGUAUGAAAUAAUGACGUCCGUCGCUGCAUCUUUAGCCAUCAUAAUAAUAAUAAUACAUUAUAAUACAACGCAUUCGAAAAAAAAAAAUAAUCAUAAUAAAUACUUGCACCACUCGAGGUCAUACUUGUACGUUUUUUUCCAAUCAAAUUUUAUUGGAUUUUCUGUACAAGACGCGACGUUACAAACAUAAUAUUAUGUAUUACCAUAGACGGUUUUAAUAAUUUCACAAUGUUGUAGACGUGACUUUUGAAUGGUCCUUAUUAUUAUUAAAUUGCCAAAGUUUAGAAAAACUAAAUUAAUAAUUUAUGCGGCCAGUGGCGUAAUAAUCGUCUGUGGAUCUACUACGUCAUCCUACUAUGUGCAGUGUACACGGAUCGGUAACUAUGCAUAUUGCAUGUAGGUUCCUCCUAACUCGAGGAACGCAGAAGUGUAAAUUUAUAUUUUCGAAACGUUUUUUAUUUAAUUUGGUGUAGGUAGGUACUCCAAUAAUAUUUUAUUACCAAACGAUACAAUUCCGGCGCUGUUUAUUAUGUAAAGUGAUACGCAAAAUAUAUUCUUAUAAUCCAUAGCGGGUCCUAAAUACAUUUUGAUGGUUAUACAUUUAGUAUUAACGAAUCAUAAAAAAUCUAUAAUUAAUUUGCUUCGCAUCUUCCGCGUUGCAGUUUGCGAAAUUUAUACUCGAACAACGGAAUUCCGGGAACGGCAGUGUAAUGCAUUGGUUUUAAUGUAAACAUGUUCACGUUAACAAUACGUAUGCGAUUAAUUAAAUUAUUUAUUAUAUCAUACAAGUUACUAUUACAAAAUUAUGAAGACGAUGACAUUUGUUUGGACUUAUACCUAUACCAGCAGCAAUACCGAUUGGUUUCCGUGUAGGAUAAGAAAGAAUAUUAGCACGACAGAAACCAUAAAUAAAUUGUGGGUUUGAAUUUUAAUUUAUGAAAACUGGUGUUUAUAACCAAAAGAAAAGUCCACAGUUUUGGUUAACCGUCACAUAAUAUAGAGGGUUUGUUUGAAAUAGAACCGACUUAAUUUUAAUUUUUACAUCUCUGCGUUAAUAUCGUUAAAAUCAAAUUUUCCUACAAUAAGUCUAAUUCCAUUCGAGAAAUACCAAGGAAGCAUUUUUUGUAGAAUUUUGGAUCUAGUUCGUGCAUGCCUUUCAAAACAUGUACGAGUAUAAUCGAAUUUCAUUUAUAAUCGUUUUUCGUUAGAAAUUAUUUAUUGUUGCUUACAGAUAUAAAUUAAAUAAUUGAAUGUAUCUACCUUUUACAGUUUUCCACCUGCCAUAGAUACUUAUAUAGAUAUUAGUUAAAAAUAUUACGGGCUUUUUUUUUUUUUUUGGUGAACAACUUUCCUACCAGCAAUUUUGCUCAUAUUUACAAUAAUAGCACUUUUUCUGAAAGGAAAUCGAAUUGGGGAGGUAGUUACUUUAGACAGAUCACUUUCGAUUUUCUCAAGAGUUUUCCCAGCAAAUUGGAAAAUCCUGAGAAAACCGGGAAAAUAAACGAAAUGUAGAUAUUAGUUGAAAAAAAUAUUACAGCCCUUUUUUAUUUUGUGAACAAUAAUUUUACCAGCAAAAAAAAAAAAAAAAAAAAUUGGCACGGGCAAUGCCGGGCGCGGAACAGCUAGUAUAAAUAAUACAUUUUAAUAUUAGUUGUUGUUUGAAAAUCAAAAGUGUGUAAUGGUUUUACUCCCUAAAUUAAGGGUCACAAAAAAUACCGGUAAUAAAUCUUAUUCUCGCUAAUUUUUGACACUACUAUCGGCAAUGGUAAGGUCAAAUCAGUUCAAACUCGGGAAUUAGAGUUGUUUUAUAGACGGACUGAAUUGAUUAAAUUUUGGUUGAAUUAUAAUAUGAAUCUUGUUGCGAAAGGAGACUGUUUGUUGAGUUUUGCACUGAGGGAAAAUUUGACUCGUGACGAGCUCUGCUGCUCACGGGUAUAUUGAUUAUUCUCAAAGUGUAUCUACAUUUAAAGUAUUUUUAAUAUACGUUUUAGUUGAAAAAAUGAUAAACUUGUCAUAAAAUUGAUUUAAUAUUCAUUUAUGUGUAGUAAAAAUGUAAUUAUUUGCUUAUAGAACAUAAGUGUUCGAAUGACCGUGAAUCGAAUUAUAUAUGAUCGGGAAUGUUAUUUUUAAAAUUUUAGUUCUUCAACUUUAACACGUUUCGAAGGUUUUGCAAACGAAUAGACGAGAUUCUAACAUGUCAUUUUGGUCGGACUUAAUAAUAAUCGCGGAUGAAGUACUUCGAUUCGCGAACGAGAAAUUGUUUCGUCAGAAACGAUUUAACAGAUCGUGAUAAGUUGAGUAAGUAUUUGUAAAUACUUGUUUAUAUUUAUAUUCAUAGUUAAUGUUUACUUAAUUUAUUAUUUGCAUUGGUAAAAUUAGAAUCAUAUCUAAGUUAAUAGUGGCUCAAUUCAGGAGGGGGAACGUUAUAAUCCCCCCCCCUCGAAAUUAGACAUUUUCUUAUACGAAUUGAGCGUAUAUACGUGUAGUUGCAUAAUUUGUACAUUGCAAUUACAGAAAUUUCCUCGUAAUUUUGAAUAUAUUUAGAAGUUUACUAUUGCAAAAACCUGCUCAGAAAUUUGGUUGAAAUCCAUAAGUUUUCAUAAUUUGAGUAUAGCAUAUAUUAUGUACAUAUGGACGGAACCGGGACAUUAUGCCGAGUGAAAAUAAUAUCCUGAAAAAAAUUUAAAAAAAAUCCUAUGAUUGAUCUUGACAUUAUCUGGAUUUAUGAAUUUAAUGACCUGUUCAGCAUUUUCAAACGAUGAUGAAGAGAUAUAAAUUUCGGUAUAAUAGUACGCAUUUGUCCCGAGUCACGGGUGCAAAUUCAUUUUAUUAGUCGUAAUAUCGUGUGUGUGUGUGUGCAAAACGGAUUUUUAACAUUUUCUACUAAAGUUUUUUAAGGUCAGAGUUCAGAGCCGCUGUACGCGGUGAAAUUUAGGGUGUUUAUAUAAAACUGCAGUUUUUACAGUAAAAUAUAAUAUAACAUAUGUAAUAUUUACUUUGGUGUAAAUUAACGUUGUGGGGUGCGUUCGAACAACGGAAAUUCGGAAAAAUAUUCAUAUAUUUCCGUAUCACGCGUACCGUACAGUUCAUUACUUAAUUAACGUAUGUUAUACAGGCUAAUUGUUUUAUUACAUGUACCAGCGGUUAUAUUAGAUCUCAUUUACAAUGUUUUUAAAAUCAUAAUACCUUUAAUUCCGUAUACCACAUUAACGCAUAUUGACUUUUGAUUAAAAAAUCCGCGAUUAAUCGUCGCGUGGUUCGCGAUAAGAAAAUCGCGGCGAAGUGGCAAUGAUAAGAGGGAACUGCUUCAAAUUUGAUUAAAUCCAGUGGGGGAUAUAGAAUUAAUUUUUUUUGGGAGGGGCGGUUUAACAUUUUUCAUAUUAAAUUUGAACAAUGAACACUAAAUAUAAAAUACAGAUAAGAUUAUAAUCAAGUAUCAAUAUUAUCAACUAAUAUAAUAUUUGAUCUAACCGUAAGGACCGGGGCCCUCUCGGCCCCCCUUGAAUCCGCCACUGAUUAAAUCCUUAUCCAUUAAUUUCUCCCGAGUGUAUAAUAGCGUUUAUGAUUUCGGGACUGUACAUAGAAAAUAAGCUAUUUAUAUUGAUCAUUUCAUGGAGUCACUAUAUUAAAUAAAUACUUUAUCAGGUCCAUCAUCCUGGCACUUGCACAUUGGAGUUUUAAAACCAAACCAACGCCAUUAUUUAGUAAGAAAUUUGUAAUAAUUUGUAACCUGUGUUUCAGAAUUUGUAACCCCUCCCACACUCGAGAAAAACACUUUUUUAUUUUCCGGGUGUUGGAACCACGGUCGUCCUGGCACCCGCAUCGUUUUUUGGAUUGAUUUAGAUACUUAAUUUAGUAUCUGAAGCCGUGGCUAAAUGUAACUGAAUACUAUCAGGCGUUAGUCGUCGUUUGGUAGUUUGUUAAGGACAAAAACGACAUAAAAUAUUAGUAUACGCAGUGUCUUUGAGGUCUAUUUACACACAGCAGUGACGUUACAGUACCGUGACAGUGUCUUAACCGUUCUGGGAUUUCACCGGCCGUGAUAUUUAAAACGGUCAGUGUUUCAUCCGUCAUUCGCGUCGCGUCGUUUCACACGACCUUCACUUAUACUCAAUAUCUAAUGUACUCGUACUCGCCGUCAUUGUAGCAAAGAUGGCUAUGGUUUCGGAAAGUUAAUUAUUAAUGAUUACUUUGGUUUUGGAUGAAUAAUAAGAAAAAGACGAUUAUGGGUACAUCCGGCAUGGAAGAAUAGAUCAACAGAAGAGGAAUGUUCCACUUUGUAUAAAAAAAAAAUAGACGAUGGAACGAAGUUUUUUGAAUAUUUUAGAAUGUCUGAAAAUGCAUUCAAUAAAUGUAGUGUCCGUGUAUUUAUGUGACAAAUCAUAUAAUACGGUAUAUUUCCGCACAAAUUCAAUAAGUUUCUCUUAAACUAAGGUUACAAAUUACUAUAAAUUCCUUACUGAAAAAUGGCGUUGGUUUGGUUUCAAUCGGACAAGUUUAAGACGAUGCGGGUGUCAGUAUGACGUCGUUCCAGCACCCGAAAAAUAAAAAAGUGUUGUUCUCGGGUUUGGGAGGGGUUAUAAAUUAUAACAAAUUCCUUAUCAAAUAAUGGCGUUGGUUUGGUUUUAAAAUUCCAAAGUGCGGGUGCCAGAUGACGGACCUCACUUUAUCAUAAGAGUCAACACGCCGUCUGGUGGAAUAACGCGGUGUCCAAAUGAUCAACGUUGUCACGUGGUUUUUCUCGGACUAGCUUUUUAGAUUUACGCUUAGGGCACUAAUUUUGUUGGAGCUAUAACAGGUUUGGACCAAUAUAAUUGUUUUAUUUCGGAUAUUGAUAGUUGUCAGAAAAUCUGCAAGAGGCUAUACAGUAUUUCACAGUUGCAAACUGUUCACUUUCAAAAUAUUAUAAUACCAUAAUUAUUUUGUAAUACGAUUUUUGUACAUUAUCGACUUUUAUACGUCGAAAUGUGACCUACCGAUGUGAUUUUUCCCAUUUCCUCCUCUUUUCUUUAUUUUCACCAGGUGUGUUUUUUCAACGACUAAAAAAGCUUUAGGUUUUAAUUAACUACGAGUUUAUUGGACGUGGUUAGGUUAGGUUAGGUUACGCGGCGAUUUUUUUUUUUCAAAGUCUUAGCAUUGCCGCAAAAUCGCUGUGGCUACAAUUCCUUAAUAAUCUGUCAACUAGGUAGACCUUGUUUCAUUUUAAAUUAAUUAGUAAUCAUUUUAUCGUUCGUAUUUUUUAGACCGAUAAGAACAAUUUUAUUGAAAGGGUAGCAAUAAAUGGCCCAUUUUAAAUUAUUAUUAUUAUACACCUGCGCGGCCACCGAAAACCAAAAACCCACCUUACUAACCCACACGUCUCGAGCGAGUGGACCAGCAACAGCUACGAUAGUAUAAUAAUACGAAAAAUAAUGACAAUUCAACAAUCGUCCGGAGACGACGCAACGGCCCGGUUGCGUCUUUCGGCCUUGGUCGCGUGAAUCGAAAAGCUUUUUUUUUUCUUCUUCUACAUUUGUUUGUUGUCUGUCAAUAUUGAUAGAAUACAGGUACACAGUAUAUACACACAUAAUGCGUGUACGAGUGGGUACUUGGGAAGAGUGUGCGUGGGGACCUCCACGAGGAAAUAAUAAUACUGUGUUUGCUCUCUCGUGAUUGCUGGGUAUUACAUAAAAAAAAAAAAAAAAAAAAAAAAAAAAAAUAAUAAUAAUAACAAUAUUAUUUUAAUACCUCGUCACAGCUACAUAGGAUUUUACCACUUGAAUCCGGUAAUCGUCGUGGUGGCGUAUAUAUAUUACGUACAACCGUUUGUAAUUAUAAUAUAUGAUUAUUGUUCACGAGUGUUCCGCGAUGUAUUGUAUUUUUGCAUACUAUAACAUAAACACUCCCGCUAUACAUUAUAAUGCCCGUAUAAUAUUGUAAUAUAUCGCGCUGACAAUAAAUACUAUUGUAUGGCGUAUUGGAGAUUAAAAUAUUAUUCGGGGGUAUAGUACAAUUUAAUACGACGUUGUCCAUGUCGGUUGUCUGGUGCAGUCUGCGUAAUAUAAUAACGAGUGCCCAUCAUGCUAUGGGAUUUCCGGUCGAAAUGCUCGCCGGAGCGUUGUGGCCAGUGGCGUUAUUUCGAUAUCUAGUAGACUGCGGCAAACCCGCGGAAUUCGCUGAUUGGCGAUUGGAAAGUUAUUGCCGAAAAAAAAAAAAAAAUGACAUAUUUUUACAAUCGCUCGCUUAUUGCCCUUUGCAUUCAACAAGUAUUGUAGAUAUUUUUACUUUUAAAGAAACUGAUAUCAACACUUAUUUUUGAGGUGUUUAUAUUUUAUGUUUUUACUUUUUUAAGUUAAAUAAAUCGUUCAAUUUUUGGUCGGAAAAAAAGAAAAUCGACAAUUUGAUCACGCAUUACUUAUCCGUGAGGGCGUGCAAACAAAAGGUAUAAGAACAAUUUUUCGACAUUUUGGAAAUUUACCCAGACUCAAAAGCAUGCAGACAAUCCGCCAAAUGCAUCUAACACAUUUUCAAGAAGGCCUUGGGCCGUAGUCGCAAUUUAAAUUUUUGACUCUUGGAAUAUUUUUCGUGUGAUAUGACCAGUAAAAUGUUUGUUUGAGUAAAAAACGUUAGGUUAGAUGUUAAGGUCAAAUUUUAAAAUUUUCAGUUGGCAGUGGUUGAUUAUCGGGGGAAAUUAUAUUUAGUUUUCAUUUAUAUUUUUGUUUAUACUGUUAAAAUGUUUUGGUAUUUUAAGCGCACCGGAAUACAGUUGUUCGAGUUAUAUUAUAUUAGUAUCGAAUUCUAUGUUUGAAACAAAAAAAAAAAACAAAUGAAAUAAAAUCGGAAUAUUCGGACGAUAAUAUUGCUAGAGACGUAUACAAAGCGUCGGUCGUGAAAAUAGAAUAUAUAAGCGUCCGCAAGAAUCAGAAACAGCGAUGACUUGAGGAAUACGAGAAUAUCGUGCGUUGAAAUUGCCCCGCGUCUACAUAAUAUAAUAAGAGACGCUGAACUAUACCAUUUGAACGGAGAAUGUGUUCGGUAACAGGUUUUAAAAUAAAAAAAAAAAAGAAAGGGAAAGGAGAGAGAGAAAACCUAUUUGCGUGCCUUCUAUAAUCGUGUGUAUUGGGUAAUAUUUCGUGAAGGUCAACUCGUAAUGUAAAACGGAAUUUACUGAUGCAUCUCCGGUGCACCGGUUUUUCAUAUCCGAAAAGGGCCAUUAGCAUUAUGCGUCAACAACACGCGCGAGACUAUAUAAUAAAGAAGUUCGGUUUGGUCGAAUAUAUUUAUAUAUUUUUUUUUUUUGGUAUCGAAACUGGUAUGUUAUUAUCCGGGCUUAAAUUUUAGUCCAAAAAAAAAAAAGAAAAAGUAGUUAUAAUAAUAUAAUAUGAGUACCAUCUGAAAGCUAGCCCGUAUACUAUUAUUGUUUCCUCCGCCCGACUAACUGCAGGAGAAAUAUUUUUAUUAUAAUUAUAUAUACCUACGAUAUUUAACGAGAAAAAAUAAAACAUACGCCACAUUAUGAAGUUAUACGAACGUACUUGGGGAAUAAUAACUAAUCGAAUGUUAAUAUCAAUUAUGUUAUCACUUUUCCUAACUCUUCUUCUAAUUUGGCUAUUGCCUUUUUUAAACUAAGAUUAAUAAUUGAUUUAUUGUAACAUUAUGGUUUUUAAUUCUCGUGUACAAGUACAUCAAACGCCCGAGUUGUAAUGAAAACUACAAACGAAUCAAUAAUAUUGAAUGUUAGAUACUUGUACCUACCUGUACUAUAUUUUGAUAUUGAUACGUACAAUUAUUGAAACAAAACAGUACGCUGGACACAAUUAUUGCUUAAGGCAAAAUCCACUUUUACUGAUCUUAAUAACAGAACCCGAAUGGAAAGAUACUGAAUUGGAUGUUUUUAGGAUCUAAAAAAAAGAUAAAAAUAUUCAAACGGAGGAUCAGAUUGAAAAUUAUGAGCAGCUGAUUGGGAGAACUAGCGGUCGAGAACCUCAAGAAGAAGAUAGAAAAUUAUAAAAUCCUUAAGUUUAAAGUGAUAUUUUUUGAUAGAUACUAUCAUGAUUAAUAUCAUUGAAAUGCACUUGGGAAAUGGAACCCUAAAUAUUAGUAUUAAUCAUUUAGUUUUCAGAAGAUUGAGCUUGGUGUCAUAGUGAAGCUAUUUCGCAUUUAAUCUAUCGAUAAUAUUAUAAAUAAAUACGAUACAUACUUUUGGUUUCCUAUACGGUUUACAGGUUCAAUAUUUAAUAUUUAAACAUCCUGUUUACAAUAAACACAUGUAUGUUAGGUAAGCCAUAAAAAAAAAAAAUGUGAUAUAAUUGAUAAUUGUUUGUGAUAUGAGCAAAUAGUAAUGCAAAACACUAGUCAUUUGAUUUAAUACUUAUAAACGAUUAACGAGUGUUAAUACAUCGAGUGUUACAUUAUGAUGCUUCCCCUUUGUAUGAUUUCCUUGAGUGUAUAUUUGUGUACAAAUAACAUACCUACUGUAUAGUAAAAUACAGUCGAAUCUCAUCAAUCUGGACUAAUUGGGGCUAUAGAUUGUCCGAAUUAACGAAAGUCCGGAUUAGACAAAAUAACCAAAAACCGUGUAUUUUUUUUUCAUUUAAAAUUGUACCGGUUUCAACAAUUAAAACACACUGUGUAUGUAUUAAAAAUUGAAGUAUAUGAAUUAUAAUAUAGGUAAUUCAUAAAUAAUCUCGAUAACAUGCAUUCAUGGGAAAUUCGUAGAUUUCAUUUUCAUUUUUAUUUUGAUCUGCGGCACAAACUGCAUAUAGUUUUCGUUCUUAAACGGUUGUCCGUAGUAGGCGCAGUCCAGUUUUAUGGGGUCCGGAUUAACGAGGUUCUAUUGUAUUAGUAAAUUUCCGCGUAUUUAUACAAAACUAUGAGGUUUUAAUUAAUCGUUUGGAUACAAUUUCAAAAGUUUUAAACGUUUCUUUAGGAUUAGCUAGCAAAUAUUUUAAGUCUAAAACGUUUGAACGUGGAAUAAACGAUGCCACUGCCCUGUACCAUUUUAUCAGUUUUUAGAAGAAAUCAGAGUGAAUAAUAAUAUGAGAAACAUCAUACUUACGUAUAAUGUAAUAUUACGAUGUAACGAUACUACGUAUAAUAUGAUAGAAGCCGAACAAAGGAAAACGUUUUGGCGGCAAAGAGCCUGAAUAAGCUCACGCGAAUUUGAAACACAGGAAACAUUAUCGCUAUCUAAGAAAAAAAAAAAAAAUGAAUCCUAAAAUGUAGAUGUUUAAUUUUCGUCGUCUAUGUACGGGUACUCACACUUGAACUUUGGACAUUGAAUAAGAAAACCGUAUACAUUUUUUUUUAUCGACUUUUGAGUUUCCUAUAAGUGAUACCACAACUGACACGGACAAAACAAAUCGAAUUCAACAUGGUUGUCCCCGGUAACCUACAUAAACAUAAAUAUUAAUUUAGUUUUUACGGUCACGGGCAACGUAUUGUGAUGGGGCGGCUCUGCUAGUAUUUUUUUUUAGUAAAGUAACAAUAUUAUUAUUGUGCAAUACGCUUAAUAAGUAUUUAUGUAAUGUGUGAAAAAUCGAUUUUUUUUUUUAAUGUUUUUUAAUUUUUUUUUAAUAGCUAGAUUAUAGUUGUAUUAUUAAAUUCGGAAGAAUUCGUUAUUUAACGCUGCCCGUAUGUUAAUUUUGUUAUAUAUGUUGAAAGAACAAGUGGUUGGUUCUAUAAUUUCAGUAAAAUUAUGUGACUAGUUGUGCAGCAUGCAAGUGUAACUGGUUAUAACUUCUUUAAAUCUGAACUUGAAUUGUGCAUACGAUUUCCGAAUACCGUUUCGUGAGUCGAUUUACGAGUGAUAAAUCGUUUUAAAAUUAUUUUACAUGCAUAUCAAUCGUAAUUUAUUUGGAUUUUUUUAACUUUAUUUGAUGCAAUGUUUGAAAACAUAAUUAACUAUUAUAUGAUUUAUUAUUGAUUUGUAUAACAAAAAAACAAUUCGAAAAAAACGACGGCGGUUAGGUACUCCAGUUUUUCCGACUUUUUUCUUGAUUUUUUCCCAUUAUUAGGAAACAUAUGAGAUGUUUAAAGAAUACCAUUCACAACGCAAUGACUAUGAUAGAUCCGAUAUGCUAUAAGAAAGCUCCUAUUUGUAGUUUUUGAUUGGACCGAGUCUUCUGUUCGUAAAACUAGUUUACAGACGGGAGAAAUACACAGUGAAUACGAAUUCAAAUUAUUUAUAGAGGUUAUUGGUUUUGUGAAUACCAGUACUCUAAUUGGGGAGGAGAAGGAGAGGUCAGGUGAACAGAGCUCUUCUACUAUUAUUUUGUUUUAAUAUAAUCAUUUCUAUUGGGACGGUAUGUCUGCUUUUGCAAAUAAUGAUAUUUUAAAAAAAAACACGUAUUAUCAUCUCGGAUACAUUCAAUAUUGAAAACAUUUGCUUACAAUGUAAUAUUAUAGUACCUACUAAAUUCUAAAAUAGUCAGUAUAAUACACUUCUCGUUCAGUUUGAAAUAAUUACCAUUAUUCUAUUUUCUACAUUGCACUUUGCCAUGUGUAAUAAUAAUAAAGUAAGUAAUUUAACCAAAAUCUAAACAUCGUAUUUUCAUUUUUACGAAAAAAAAAAAAAAAAAAAUAACAAUUUAAUAAAAAUAAAUGUCAACAUAUUUUGAUACAAACAAAUGGUAGUAUAAUACAUAAAAUAAAUCAUUAUGAAAACAAAAACGUAGUCUGCAGGGGUAUCAUUGGACGCGGUUUUUUUUUUCUUUUUUAGAUGAUUAAUUAUUGGAACUAUGUUGGAAAAGUGACGAAAGGUGGCUCCCCCACCGGUUAAGUUGAGUUUCAUAAAAUUUCAAUGGAUGCACAAUUUUUCAUUAAAUCAAAUUGUUUCUCUUUUUUUUUUAUUUUUCCAAUUCGAACACUGGUGGAUACUGUCGGCUGAAGUUACGGUAUUUAAACAAUUUUCUAAAAUAUCGAAAGAUACUUAUUUAUUAUUAAACAUUGAGUAAAAGCCGCACCGUCUUUUUUUUUUAUUUGAAAAUUGAUAUUUGACUUGCGUCAUAAACGACGUGAAAUAUAAGUAAAUACGUGCAUAUAGAAAUAUACGGUCACGAGAAUUCGUGAAUUGCAGUACGUAUGUUUACAUAUAAAAUUAGGUCCUAGGUGUUUGCCUACACUUAAAUACCAUUUCUUCGUCAAACACAAGACGUCGCAUAUUAUUAUCAGUGUCGGCGGUGGUGGGGCGGCGAUAUAUCCGCGCGGACUCUGCUGGAUCGCCGAAAAAUACAAUGAAAAAUUAUUAUAGUCGGCGCAGAAGACGGCGAGAAGGCAACUGGCACAGUCCUCGAAUAGGAUUGUACUUCACGUGUUAUAUUAUUUUUGGGUAAGUAAUAGUCAUUUUUAUAUUCUGCGACGUUUUCGGUGUUUUGUGACGCAUAUAAUAUUAUAAAAGUUUAGAAGCUCUCGCAGAGUGAUAAAAAUAACGUAAUAUAGGUAAAGUCAGUGUUAAUGAUGGGAUUAUAUUUUUUUUAAAUAAAUUUAUAAGACUUUCGAAACGUUUUAAAAAGUGCAGACUAAAUGCAUUUCUAAUUAAAUAAUAUAAUACGAAUAUUUUUUUAACUUCCUUGUAAUUUUCUUAAUAAUGGUAAAAGGAUGAAAUAGUUGAGAAACCAGGAAUUUUCAUUACAUUUUAUUCAAUAUUGAUUUUUGUUUUAAACGAUUGGGUUUUAGAUUUUAAGCGAAGUAAGGAAUGUGUUAGUUUUAUAAUGAUGUUUAUUAUUGUUAUUUUUUUAUUUAUAUGGGGAAAUUUACUAAAAUAAUGUUUUUGUUAUUUUUAAUUUUGUUUUUUUGUUGUAAUUAGACUUGAAAUUUAAACAGAGAUCUCAUAUUUGCCUUUUUUGGUAAAAAUUUCAAAACAUUUGAGCCAUUUUUAAGCUAUUUAUAGACAUUUUAAUUUUGCGAGUUUUUGACAUGAUAUUUAUUCCGUAGUUAUUUUGUGGUUACAAUUAUUAGACCAAAUAGAAAUGCCUGAACAUUUAAUAGGGCGUUCAUUAUAAGUUAUACUUAGUAGGUAAGAAGAAAAAGUUGAGUUUAGUAUUUUUUUUUUUAUAAGAACUUUAAUAUCAAAUUUUGACGAAAAUCAUAAAUAUUACGGUCUUUUAAAACAUAUGUAACCGAACUCCGCUCAAAAUCAUUUUUCAUUAGCAAUAAUUAAUCUUAGCAUAAAAAAAAUGCAUUAAAGUCCCCUCUUCAUCCUACCUUCUCAACUUCUCACCUACAACAGUGGCCCACCCAUCGUGUGAAAUAUGUCCGUCUUUUUUAACUGUAGUUCAAUAAGAAAGCACUUAACAUUUUCACUGAAAACUCGUUUAUGAACUUGUUUAGACUAAUUAUUUUAAAUUUACGUGUCCCUUUUCACGUGCUUGAUUAUUUGAGUAAUAUAGGUAUACUCUAGAUCUUCUUUUUUCUAUGCAUGCUUCAAGAUCUCUUUAGAUUAAUGUUUAAGCUUUUAAGUCUUUUAGAGAAUGUCCUAUCAUAGGUAUUAAUUGGCAUAUUAUCUAAAUUAUGUAUAGAGAGUCUUAUAAUAUUCGUUUCAACAAAAUUGCAUUUAAAAAAGUCUAUGUUAUAAUUAUACCCAACAAAAACAAAUAUAUCAUUAUUUUGGUUCUUGUCUAUAUUUGAGAAGUUUUAUCCUCCAAUAACAUAAUUGAAUUGACUCAGAAGAUCAUGCCAGGUAUUAGUAGAAUUAUAUAGAUUUUUAGAUUCUGAGUGAAACGAAGAUAGUUUUACAAAGAUGUUUAUUUUUUUUUUAUCUGUGCGCAACUUUUCUACCAAAAGUCUUGCUCCGAUUUUUAAGUAUAGCACCUUUUUUGAAAGAAAAUCGGUGUGGUGAAAUAUUCUAUGGAGGUAAUUUUUUGGUUUUUUAAAGAAUUUUCUCUUCAAAUUUGGAAAACCGAAAAAAACUAGAGGAAAAACAGGAAAAUAUAAGAAAUGUAGGUAUUAGUUAAAAUUUAUUACGGCCUUCUUUUUACCUGUGAACAACUCUUCUAUCAGCAAUUUUGAUUAGAUUUAUAAUGAGAGCAAUUUUUCUGAAAGGAAAUUCGACUGGAAGGUACUUUAGAGAGGUCGUUUUUCGAUUUUAUCAGGAGUUUUCCUGAAGAAAACCGGGGAAAACUUGGAAAAACAUGGAAAAACCAGGAAAACGUAGGAAAACUCGGAAAAUUGGUACAAUAUUAAAUAAAUAUAUAAAGAAAAUUUGUAAAGCCUAUUUAAUUAUUUUACUAUAAUAUGGCAUAUAUAUUGUUGAACAAGGAUCACUAUUAACUGAACUUUGCUCAAAAUCGUUUUUUCCUUAGCAAUGGUUUAUUGUUGCUUACAGGUAUACAUUAAAUUACCUAGUGGAUGCACUCGUCUCCAUUAUCCUAGGACGUCUUUUUUACCAUUUAGAUCAUUUUCUAAAAAGACAGUUAGUUCAUUAAAAUUAGAGUUCACAUUCCUAAUAUUACAAUACAGUAUAUUUAUAAACUAAAUAUUUAUAUUGUUAUUAAUAUGCAAAACAUUUCGUAAAAUAUUUAAAAUAGUUUGCUUUGUAACUAAAGCAUUAAGGCAUCUAUUAAUAUUUAAAAAGUUGUCCAUUUAUAACUGUGAAAGAAAAAUGAACAAAUAAAAACAACAAGCAUUUCCUUAUAGUGAGUAGGUAUCAUCAUCUAAUCUAAGGAAUUACUAAUGUAUUUUUGUAAGCAGUUUAAAUAAAUAAGUUAAAAAAAUUUCAAAUAUAGGUUAUAAUUUACCCUAAUUUCUAAAUUAGGGUAAAUUAUAAAGAGUACUCGUCAUUUAGUUUAAAUGCUUUGGUAUUUUAAUUUUUUUUUACAACUUAACCUAAUCGAACAAACCUAUAGGUAAACACUUAUCUUACUUUUUUUUUAAGGGGCUGAUUUUCCAAAUUUUCUCUGAUUUCAUAAAACUCAAAAAUUAUUUUAUACUUUUAAAUGGCCAUCUUAAUGCUUAACUUUUCCCACUAAUCUUUUGUCCAUUGUCUAGAGGGAAAGUCGCUUUUACGGACGAAUUUUACUUUACGGGAACCUAUUGAGAUAACUCAUUACAAAUGUAAUAUUUGUCUUGUACUUGUUUUGUAACAUUUAUUAUGCAUUUACUGAUAAAUAACAUUUUCUUGCGCACAUUGAACUCCGAUGUUUUGUUUGAUGAAACUUUAAAUUAGUUCUUUUUGACAAAAGACAUAUUAUAAGGUUUAAGAUUAGAUCAUUUAAAACGGAGCACAAUGAAAAUAUGGGAGAAAAUUUUCUUGGCAUUUUAAAAAAAAAUAAAUAAAAUAAUAGUAUUAAUAAUAAUCGUCAAAAUCAGACAAUUUUAUGAGGCAUGAGAGGUAUUACGUUUUUGAACCAAAAAACGCUCUGGCUCCGAGUUCCUUAGUUAAUUAACUUUGUAAUCUUGCAUAGGUAAUACGUCUUAAAAAUAAAUUGAUUUCUUAAUUUUUUUUUACUAAAUUUUUUAUAACACUAUAGACUAUAGAAAAAUGAUAUAAAAAAAAAAACGAGGUUGGCAAUAUAUUAAUGUAUUAUUCCUAUUCCCGUGAAAGUCAUAAAAACAGUUGUGUCCCUUCCCUCUUUUAAAUGGAUAUUAGAUCGGCACAAAAGUAUUAUCAUAUAAAGGCGACCAUUUAAAUAUUUGAAACAUUUUGAAAAAUCGGCACCGGAUUCCCUGAUAACAUAAUAAAGAUAUCAACUGAUAUAGUCAAACUUACAGUAGGUAACAUAAACUAUUCUUCUGGUAUUUAUAAAGAUAAAAAUAUUAAAAAAAAAAAAAAAAAAACGAACGAUUUUGUCUUCUAAAUAGGACAAUGUGCAAAUACUUGCCCGAUAAACAAUGUCAAAAACGGAAAAUGUUUUCGAUAUUUCGUUUUUAUAAUUAUAAAAAUAUUUAUGCACGUGACAACCGAAUUUAUAAAAUUAAUGUCGAUAACGCUGUAACCGUACAUUGUUACUAUACAGUAACGAGUAACUGUUCUCUUUUAAUUUUAUAAUAAUACAGUUUUUUGAUUUUCUCGUUUGUCGUGCCUCUAUAUUAUAAAAUAUAAUUAUAAAAACAGGUGCGUUUCGUUCGGUAUGCUUGCGAUAAUAAUAUAAUUGCUACGGUGCUGAGUCGAUGUAAAAUGGACAAAAUAACAUUAUUAUUAUUAUUUUACCGCCAUCUAAAUAUUGUGAAAUCGGCAUGUUCGCGAAUUAUGAUAAAAUAUAAUAUUGAAAUGUCGUCGUUGCAAUAUGCAAUAUUAUUGUAAUAUUAUAUUCGUCGUCGACCGUUCUGACGGUUUUCUAGUUAUUGUUUUUUUUUUUCGACGGUCGGUACUCUACACCACCGUCGUUUGACAAAUUAUACAUUAUUUCUCAAAAAUGAUUUUUAGUAUAACACCCACCUCCGGUCCCUCUCCUCUUUCUCUCAUCAUACGCUACUGAAAUCGAUAAAUGAGGUGUACAGUUUUAAAGGAUAUACGUUCACGAAUCGUUAAUAUACAAUAAUUAUUGCCCAUUGUAUUAGGCACUCCGUUUUUGGCAUCCGUUAGUUUUCAUAACAUAUUGUUCAUACUUUAAAAAUACGAAAUAUUCGCUCGUGGACCCACUAAAUAUAAAAUAUUGGUGGUAUAUUUAAGAGUAGAAGAUCAGGAAGAUACGAGUACAUCUCUUUCUUGACCCUUGUUUUUUAUUAUUUCUUAUUAAUUAAUACGAAUUCUUAUUUUUAGAUUCUGAGUGGAGCGAAAAAUGUAUUGGUUUUACAAUGAUGUUUAUUUUUUUUUUUUAGUGAACAAUUUUGCUCCAAUUUUCAAUUAUAGCACUUUUUCUGAAAGAAAAUGUGGCAGAACUGGUACUAUAAGAAGGUCAUUUUAUGAUUUUCUAAUUAGUUUUCGCUAUAAAUGGUAAAAACCGAGGAAAAACACGGAAAAACGUAUGAAGAACGGGAAAUGGGUACAAUAUUAAACAAAUAUUACUAAAAAAAAUAUAUGAUGCAUAUUAUGUAAUUAUUUUACCAUAAUAUGACAUAUAUACUGAUGACAAAGCAACAAUAUCAACCAAAUUCCAUUCAGAAUCAUUUUUCGUGAACAAUGGUUCAUCGUUGUUUACAUAUAUACAUUCAAUUUCCCCUCUACUAUACCUUUCCAACUUCUCACCUACAGCAGUGGCCCACCCACGUGUGAAGUAGGUCCGUCUUUUUACAGCUUUGGUACACGUUAUACAAUAUAACAUAAUGUAUGACCCAAUGCUUGGAAAUUUAAUAUCUCCUUCCUUGGCAAAUCCUACAAACACCACUGUAAAAUAUUAUAAAUGACGCGAUUGGGAUUCAUUUUCAUAAUAUGGGAACGUUAUGGGAGGUUAUGCAUUUUAAACAAAUUUUCUCGACAGAUAUGUAUUGCGGGGGUGGGAGAGGUUACGAGUCAUAUAUCUAUUAGUAAAUGAACAAAGAGCUGGUGAAGUGUAUCGACCCAUAGUUUAUGUCUGAAAUCACAAUCGAAAUUGUGCAACUACGUCGCGUCAUAUAGCGCUAGAUUUGUAGAAAAAAAAAAUCGUACAAUUCCCAAAUCUCACCUAAUUUUACGUCAUUGAAUUUAUUGUUAACGUUAAAACAUCCAAAGAUUUCAAAACGUUCUGAAGAUCAACUUAUAAUAAAAAUAGAAACCCUCGGUGUAAGGAACAUUUAAUUUUGUAUUGCAACCAUUUACAACGUAAUUACACCCUGUAGGUUAAAGGGAUGGCCAUUAAACAUUUUCGAAAAUCGUAGGCGUUCUAAAUGGCCUUUUUACAUUUACAAAUUUCAAUUGUUGAUAAAAUCGAUAUUAUGAAGGGGUGUAGGGUGUAUCUUCUUCAAUUAGUAUUGAUCGUUUUUUUCCAUCCAUAUCCUACCAUCCUACUCUAGUACAAUAAAUGAAGGAGGCACGGAUUCUGUGCCCCAUCCCUUUGUUUACGGACACUGUUUAAUGUGUAAUUUGUAGACCUUCCCCAUUGAGAAAUCCUGGUUAUUUCAGUGCACAAUGAAAUUUCGACUUUUGACUUAUACGACUUAAUGUAGAUAUUUUUAUUUGUAUAUUUUCGUGGGCGGCUAAGAGAAAUGAAGAAAAACUGUCGCUUAUUAUUCGGAUUAAAUCAACUGACGAUGUUUUACAAACAUUGAAAUGGAUUAUAUGCAAUAAUAUCGGGGAAACAAUACAUUCGUAACAUACAAGGCAAUUUGUCGCGUCCCACUUUUUUUCGCGUACGUAUUCGAAUUUCGUAUAGUGUUACGCGUCGUUCCGAUUGUUUUUCGCAAAACCCGUCGGCCACGCUCAUUAUCGAGAUAAAUUUCACAUGGUUAACAAUAUAAUAAUGUUCGAUUUCUAUAAUAUCAUACCGAACGACCGACCGACCGACGGCGACGUCGCCGAAACCUUUUCAACCGGACACCGGAGCGCUAGAAUAAAAAAAAAAAAAUCGCUCGAGUUUCUUUUAAUGCAGUUACGUCAAUGACGCGGGCCACCGUUAUCAUUAUAAUAUAAAAUAUAGUUUGUGGUAUAUAUAUAUAUAUAUAUAUAUUAUUAUCGUAUACGACCGUCACACGUUAAUGUGAUUAUAUCAGACUAAUGUCGUAUAGAAGAGUGUUUCAUAACAAACGAUAUUGUACGUGUUAUAUUGUCUACAGUCUGUUGUUGUUUUUUUUUUUUUUAUACAGUUUUUCUUUUGUAGCAGUGCGUUUUACGCAAUAUAUUAUCCUCCCGCCGCGUUUCGUGGUCGGGACAAUCCAAUUGGCUCCCGCAUACAGGUAGUCAAUAUUUCACCCUUAAAGUGUACGGUCGAAUUGGUUCUCAAAAAUUCGCUGUUAGAUUGGUUUCAUACACCUUUCUUUUUUACAAAUAUAUUGGUUACCAAAAUGUUAUUAAUUAUCUAUUUGUAAGUUUAGUACGAAAAUCGGUUUCCACGACCACGCGUACGUGCAUUAUUAGCAUAUCCACAUCGUUAUAAUUCGUUUCCGAUGAAUUUUAAAAAAUAUUGAAUUUUUAUUGAUUAAUUUCCCCUCUUCGCUUUGCAUUGUUUCGACCGAGUGCAUUUUAUACACUCAACAGCGCAUUUACUAAAAUAUGACUGCCGUAGUCGUCGAAUAUCAAUAACAAAACAAAUCUUGUUUAGAUAACGUAUAGAGAAUAGAAACCAUCAAUUAUCAAUAACGUAGUUUUAUAGUAGAUUACGGCGAUCAGUAUGAUAAGACUCGAUAGACAAUGAUAAUAUAAUAUAAUAUAAAAUAGUAUAGACGGAAUUAUAGCACCGGACUACUGAGUGUACAGUGCGAAUGAUGUGAAACAGUGGAACCGACGACAUCGAAAGCUGACAAAAAAGCACCUUUUUUUUUUAUCGUAUUCGUAUAAUGUAAUCGGUAGAGAAGUUCAUGCUUCAAUUGUAACCAGUGAAUAUAUUAGUAAGUGGAGUUGUAUAUUUGAUGGAUAUAAAUCGCCGUAGUGAUUUACCCGAGAGAAUGGAGGUGACAGGCCAAUAAACAAGGAAUUAAAUGCAUUUAGCUUAAAAAGAGUAAUAACUCAUAAAAAAAAAAAAAAUACUAAUAAAGAGGCAUACAAUAAACGCAUUUUAAAUUUCUUAACAGCACUGAAAUACAGUAUUAAAAAUCGAAUUGACACGUAUAUAGAGAGAGCAAAAGCGGUACGACUGUGCGAGGAAUAUAAAAAUAAUAAUUCAAAUAAAUAUAAAUAUAUAUAAUAAUUAUAAGUAUAAAUAAUUUUAUACAUGUUAUGUGAGCAUACCAUGUAUUCCCCCAAAAUUGCACAUCGUACCCAAAAAGAUACGGAUUUUCCGUUCAGUGGUUUUUAGAUUCUGAGUAAAACGAAAAAGCUUAUGGUUUUACAAAGAUGUUUAUUGUUUUUUUAUUCUGUGGACAACUUUUCCACCAGCAAUUUUGCUCCAGCUUAUAAUGAUAGUAAUUUUUCUAAAAGAAAAUUUCACCGAAAAGGUACUUUAGAAAGGCCAUUUUUUGAUUUUCUCCGGAGUUUUCUCAGUAAACUUGAAAAACUGGGAAAAACAUGGGAAAACCGGGGAAAUCGGUACAACAUUAAACAAAUAUUAUUUAAGAAAAAAAAUAGAGCCUAUUUAAUUACUUUAAUAUUAUAUGGCAUAUAAACUGUUGACAAAGCAUCAUUAUCAAUUGAACUCCGCUCAGAAUCGUUUUUUCAUAAACAAUGAUUAAUUGUUGUGUACAGAUAUAAAAUAAAUUCCCGUUUGUAUCCAACCUUCCCAACAUCCCACCUAUACCAGUGGCUGCAUCCGUCUCCAUUAUCUUACAAUUUUGUUUUAAACAUUUCUCUAAAACUACCCAAUAAUUUUUCGAAACAAAACCUUUCAAAACCGAUAUUUAUACUGGAUGAUACGCCGCUGGUUAGAGGAAUUUUAAAAUUUUGAACACAAGCGGAAGUCCAGUGACAUUUUUAAGCGGGUUUUUUAAUUUUAAUUUCCAUAUAGGUUCUUACGCUUGAAUUUCACACUUGUUUUUUUCAUUUUUGUCGAUUACAGAAUUGUUUUUCGUUUUUCGUUUUAUUAUUCAUUAUUUAGUUUAAACUAUAUCUAUACACGAUAUACACCAUAUAUUUCUAUAAUAAUAAUAAUGAUUGGUGUUGUUAAUUUUUGAUUUUUUCAGUCAGGCCCGUAACCAUGGUUCAGACGGGCGCUGAGACGACGACCGUGACGGAGGCCGACAUGUCGUGGCAAGAAAUGGAGCAGAUGAACGAAACAGUUAAGAAACAAGAGGGACGUAGCAAUGAUGACAAGGAACCCUCCCGAUUGCCCGAAAGCAAACAAGAAAUAAUAUGGACUAACGUCAUUAUCAUUGCGAUUCUCCACAUCUUGGCCGUUAGAGGAUUAUUGUUUUUACCCUAUGCGAAAUACCAAACCAUAAUUUUCGGUGAGUUUAUAGGUACUUAUAAUGGCUGGUAUUCGGUCUGCUUUGGCGGUCGGUCGAAUAACGAAAAAUCAUCAAAUAAAAAGAAACUAGGUCG